rnacentral:tRNA from 1 species
GCGGCUCUGGCCCAACGGUAGAGGCGGCCGGUUCAGAACCGGCAGGUUCGGGGUUCGAAUCCCUGGAGCCGCA